ACACACACACACCAUGAUCAAGAAGGUGGUUCACCCAGGGCGAGGUUCAGCCUUUGCACUCCGGCUGUGCUGACCCCUGCGAAUUCCCCAAAUGUGGGAAUCUCGACUGCAUAAUUUCUGGUAGUGGGGGACUGCGUUCGCGCUCUCCCCUG
rnacentral:snRNA from 1 species